GUGAAGUUGCUCAGUCAUGUCCGACCCUCAGCGACCCCAUGGACUGCAGCCUACCAGGCUCCUCCGUCCAUGGGAUUUUCCAGGCAAGAAUACUGGAGUGGGGUGCCAUUGCCUUCUCCAGGAACUCCCCUAAACUACUGAAAUUCCAACAUGAAGGAUGACCACACAGUAUCAAACACUAUUUUGAUAAUAUCCAAAAAUAGGAGUAAAUAAUUGGGAGUAGUAUUCGUAUUUUAUAAAAAGACUUCAGAGAUCCAAGAGAAGAAGGCUUCAAAGAAAGCCACUCUGUUCCUAGAAACCUGAUAUUAAAGUGCUUACAUAUAAUUUUGCAGUCAGGCCAACUUCCCUGACAAAAUGACGUAUGUUCCGUUAGCAAUGGAAAGAAUGGAAGUGCCAGGUGGCACUCAAUAAGCUAGAUUUAGAAAGCUAAAUACUGCAUGGUAUCAUUUAUAUAUGUAGAUACAAAAAAAUUAAAAAGUUGAAGUCAGAGGGGAAAAAAGGUGAUUACCAGGGCCUAGGGGGUGGGGGAAAUAAAAGGAUACAAACUUUCAUCUGUAAGAUAAAUAAGGUCUGUGAAUCCAGUGUCUAUCAUGGUGACUAUAGUUGAUAGCACUAUCAUAUAGUUGAAAUUUGCUGACAGUAGAAGUUAAAUGUUCUCUAAAAAAUGUGAUGUAUAUGUUUUUAAGUUGAUGGGAAUCCUUUCACAAUGUAUAUUUAUGUCAAAUCAUCACACACCCUUGAAAUGUCUUAAACAGUUUUUUAAAUUACACCUCAAUAAAGCUAAAAAGUAAAAGCCAAUAAGACAAAGACCCAAGAAGAGCCAGUAUUUCAGUCUGAAUCUAAAGGCCAGAAAAGACCAGUGUUGCAGGUCAGCAGUCAGGCAGGCAGUUUAAAUACAAAAACAAAUACCAGCUAAAGUUUCCUUCCAUUCUUGAAGCUCUAAGGCUCACAGUCCUUAACUUCCCCAGAGAAACUUAUUUUUUAUUCAGCCAACCUGCUACUGUAGAAAAUAGCCAGUGAAGAAAUUCAAACAGGACCAGCUAGAGAUCUAGGGUAGAGAAUAAGCACAAGAUAUUCAUCUCCAUGAACAUGUGAGUAUAAAGACGUUACAAAUCAAAUGCAUUCCAAAGGGCAAUUCAAUUCAACAGAUCAUUAACCUGUCUAGUGCACUCAGGGAAUUCUGUUAAAUGAAAAAGCUGCGUGACUACACAGGAGAGGGUUUAAGGAACACUAGUGACAAAGGCGGCGGCAGCCGGGAAGGCCAUGGGCACCUCUUUCCCCUCCCAAAAGCACACACAGUCCCUGAAGUUGCCUCUGCAAAGAGUAAACCAGGGACUUCCCUGGUGGUCCAGUAGUUGCAAGUCUACCAUGCAAUGCAGGGGACGCAGCUUUGAUCCCUAGUCGGGGAACUAAGAUCCCACAUGCCACAGAGCAACUGAAUUAUGUGCCAUAACUAGAGAGGCCGUGGGCUGCCACUAAGACCUGAUGCAGCCAAAUAUUUUUUUUUUAAAGAGUAAAUCAGAACACCAGCCCCUGAGCUCCUUGCCCUCUGGCUUCAGACUGGCUUCAGCUGAUGGGAGCAGGACGGAGAAGAUGAGUGUUUCCUCUCUCACCACUCUGCCCACUGCCAGCCACAGUUCUGGGGGUGGCUGUGUCCCUCCACCCACUCCUACCAGGCAGCCCCGCCCAGGCUCCCCCUGACCCUUCAGUCCCAGCAUUAGAAUGGCUUCCUACUGUUGAUGCCCAACAGCGGUCAUGGGUACCUCAGCAUCCUUACUGCACUGCCCCGCCCCAACCCCACCACACUCGUGUAAAGAGUCCUUUCAUUCGCUUCUCUUCAGAAGUCCCACUUGAGUGUAUGUUUCCAGCCAAGACCCUGACAGAUACACCCCCUUUCUACUGUACAGUGAUCUUCCACUUCUUUCAACUCAGUCCUGCUGAGUUUUUAACCAAGGGGAUUCUGGGGGCAUGGAGUAUUCUUAGGGGAGAAAUGAACCUUCAAAUAAAACACAAAACCUGAUAAUUCAAUAUUUUAUAUAUGAAAAAUUCAUUUUCCAACAUUUGUUCCACUGAAUGAGUGCACAGCAUUUUCAGGAACUAUCUCAGGGCUACAUCAGUACAAAAUAGUUUAAAUUAGUCAAACAAAGUCGCUUCAAAAGGAAAAUCAUUGGUUACUUCAGGGUGAGUGCCACCACCAUGAGGGGACAUAGGCAGCAAGGUGGUUACUGCAUAACAUGACAGGUCAGCAGGCACAGUGUCCCACACAGAGAGGCCCCAGGCCUUAGGGCACUUCCUUCUCCGGGACAGAGGGGUGACAGAAAUACAUCACUUCGUUUAUGCUCAACUGUUGGGAUGACAUUUCUGUCUUGGCUACAGUGAGAUAACUCGAGUGUGGCUGAGCCAUCAGCCCUACUUAUAUCUAUCUGAUCAAAGGAUUCAGGGCGGGAAGAGAGGGUGCUAUGGGAUAGAGUGAUGAGAAUAAGAAAUAGUAAAGCAGACAAUCUUACAUGACAAAUGCAGAAUCAAUUUCUCUGCUCAUGGUACAACAUGCCUUAUGUCUGGUCCACUGAUUUUCUUUGUAACCUCCAAGUUACCCGGCCAAUAGAAGGACCACAACAAGGUGGGAUGUGAUUAACCAGAAAAGUGUGUGUGUGUGUGUAGGCAUGGUGGAGACCAGGCAUUACCAGGUCUUAUACAGGCUGCUAAGAUGUUUCGUGUGUGUGUGUGUGUGUGUG